AGUGAACGCUGGCGGUAGGCCUAACACAUGCAAGUCGAACGGCAGCACAGGAGAGCUUGCUCUCUGGGUGGCGAGUGGCGGACGGGUGAGGAAUACAUCGGAAUCUACUUUUUCGUGGGGGAUAACGUAGGGAAACUUACGCUAAUACCGCAUACGACCUACGGGUGAAAGCAGGGGACCUUCGGGCCUUGCGCGAUUGAAUGAUCCGAUGUCGGAUUAGCUAGUUGGCGGGGUAAAGGGCCACCAAGGCGACGAUCCGUAGCUGGGCUGAGAGGAUGAUCAGCCACACUGGAACUGAGACACGGUCCAGACUCCUACGGGAGGCAGCAGUGGGGAAUAUUGGACAAUGGGCGCAAGCCUGAUCCAGCCAUACCGCGUGGGUGAAGAAGGCCUUCGGGUUGUAAAGCCCUUUUGUUGGGAAAGAAAUCCAGCUGGCCAAUACCCGGUUGGGAUGACGGUACCCAAAGAAUAAGCACCGGCUAACUUCGUGCCAGCCGCCGCCGUAA
rnacentral:rRNA from 1 species